rnacentral:rRNA from 1 species
GAUGAACGCUGGCGGCGUGCCUAAUACAUGCAAGUCGAGCGAACAGAUGAGGAGCUUGCUCCUCUGACGUUAGCGGCGGACGGGUGAGUAACACGUGGAUAACCUACCUAUAAGACUGGGAUAACUUCGGGAAACCGGAGCUAAUACCGGAUAAUAUAUUGAACCGCAUGGUUCAAUAGUGAAAGACGGUUUUGCUGUCACUUAUAGAUGGAUCCGCGCCGCAUUAGCUAGUUGGUAAGGUAACGGCUUACCAAGGCAACGAUGCGUAGCCGACCUGAGAGGGUGGUCGGCCACCCGGGAACUGAGACACGGUCCAGACUCCUACGGGAGGCAGCAGUAGGGUAUCUUCCGCAAUGGGCGAAAGCCUGACGGAGCAACGCCGCGUGAGUGAUGAAGGUCUUCGGAUCGUAAAACUCUGUUAUUAGGGAAGAACAAAUGUGUAAGUAACUAUGCACGUCUUGACGGUACCUAAUCAGAAAGCCACGGCUAACUACGUG